UUGAGUCACAUGCCUGCCACCAUGGCAGAGGAGGCAACAGCUUGUGACCAACAUCUUCACCAGGUUGGAAGGGACAAUUGGUGAGAGAAAAAGAUGGUGAACAGACAACAUAAUGAUCUAUUAUAACAUGAAAUAACAAGCAUGAAGCAUUUUGGAGGAGCCGUCUUAGUGUCCCUGCUUCAUAAUGCUGCAGUGAAGAGAACCAAAUCUCAUCUAGAGGAGUGGAGCCCCUAGGAGGUGGCCAGAGCCACGGGCAGGACUCAGCGCUGGCCCUUGGACUUUGGCCCAUACCUUGAGUAUUUAUUUUCCCUAGUGCUCUUUAGAAAAAUCUGGCAUCACAUUUAUUAUCUAAUAAACGGCAAUUCUGUG